rnacentral:rRNA from 1 species
UAAUACAUGCAGUCGAGCGGACAGAAGGGAGCUUGCUCCCGGAUGUAGCGGCGGACGGGUGAGUAACACGUGGGUAACCUGCCUGUAAGACUGGGAUAACUCCGGGAAACCGGAGCUAAUACCGGAUAGUUCCUUGAACCGCAUGGUUCAAGGAUGAAAGACGGUUUCGGCUGUCACUUACAGAUGGACCCGCGGCGCAUUAGCUAGUUGGUGGGGUAAUGGCUCACCAAGGCGACGAUGCGUAGCCGACCUGAGAGGGUGAUCGGCCACACUGGGACUGAGACACGGCCCAGACUCCUACGGGAGGCAGCAGUAGGGAAUCUUCCGCAAUGGACGAAAGUCUGACGGAGCAACGCCGCGUGAGUGAUGAAGGUUUUCGGAUCGUAAAGCUCUGUUGUUAGGGAAGAACAAGUGCGAGAGUAACUGCUCGCACCUUGACGGUACCUAACCAGAAAGCCACGGCUAACUACGUGCCAGCAGCCGCGGUAAUACGUAGGUGGCAAGCGUUGUCCGGAAUUAUUGGGCGUAAAGGGCUCGCAGGCGGUUUCUUAAGUCUGAUGUGAAAGCCCCCGGCUCAACCGGGGAGGGUCAUUGGAAACUGGGAAACUUGAGUGCAGAAGAGGAGAGUGGAAUUCCACGUGUAGCGGUGAAAUGCGUAGAGAUGUGGAGGAACACCAGUGGCGAAGGCGACUCUCUGGUCUGUAACU